UACAGAGGGUGCAAGCGUUGUUCGGAAUUAUUGGGCGUAAAGCGCUUGUAGGCGGCCUGUUAAGUCGCGUGUGAAAUCCCUAGGCUUAACCUAGGAAGUGCGCGCGAAACUGAUGGGCUUGAGUGCUGGAGAGGGUCGCGGAAUUCCCGGUGUAGAGGUGAAAUGCGUAGAUAUCAAUCGGAACACCCAUGGCGAAGGCAGCUCGCUGGCCUGUAACUGACGCUGAGGCGCGAAAGCGUGGGGAGCAAACAGG
rnacentral:rRNA from 1 species